rnacentral:rRNA from 1 species
UUCGGGUUGUAAAGCACUUUCAGUAGGGAGGAAGGUAGUGUAGUUAACACCUGCAUUAUUUGACGUUACCUACAGAAGAAGCACCGGCUAACUCCGUGCCAGCAGCCGCGGUAAUACGGAGGGUGCGAGCGUUAAUCGGAAUUACUGGGCGUAAAGCGCAUGCAGGCGGCCUGUUAAGUCAGAUGUGAAAGACCCGGGGCGUUAACCUCGGAAUUGCAUUUGAAACUAGGCAGGCUAGAGUCUUGUAGAGGGGGGUAGGAAUUUCAGGUGUAGCGGUGAAAUAGCGUAGAGAUCUGAAGGAAUACCAGUGGCGAAGGCGGCCCCCUCGGACAAAGACUGACGCUCAGAUGCGAAAGCGUGGGGAGCAAACAGGAUUAGAUACCCUGGUAG